ACCCAUCAGGGUGGGCGGAGGCACAGGAUGGGGCCAAGAGUCCAAAAACAAUGAAAAACACCAGCCCAACCAGGGUGGGUGGAGACACAGGAGGCGGAACCGGCGGGGAAGGUCUGGAGGAUGUCCGCGGCGCUGAAGGCGGGAACCAUGGAGGAGGUCCAGUGGCUGUCUGCGGCGCUGAAGGCGGGAACCACGGAGGAGGUCCGGCGGCUGUCCGGCGGCCAUCCGGGGCGAUGAAGGUGGGUCCGGCGGGCAAUGUCGGCGCAGGAGCCACGCCCGUGGAGGCUGGUCUAGAGGUCGACGUCAGCACAGGGGCCGGGCUGCGGGAGGCGGGUCCGGCAGGCGAUGUCGGCGCAGAGGCCGGGCCGCAGAAGGCGGCGACAAGGAGUCUCUGGGGGGCUUGGGAGGGACACUAGGAGGCUGGGACUCGGGAGGAACACUAGGGGGCGACGAGGAAACACUAGGAAGGGGCAAUGAGGAGAGGGCACUAGGAGACUUGGAGGCACUGGGUUACUCAGGAAGAACACUGGGGAAAGGAAACUCGAGGGAGGCACUAAGGCACUAAAAACACAGGGGAAACGCUAGGGAAUGACGAGGAAGAGACACUGGAACCACUAGGUUGAGACUUGGGAGGAACACUAUGAGAGAACUCGGGAGGAACGCUAGAGGGAGACUCAGGGAGAACACUGGAAUUACUAGGUCAUGACGGGAACUCACCCAAAGCACCAGGGGAAGAAAACUCAGGAGAAACAUGGAACUUCAAUAAUGUCCAGAAUAUCGGGCAGCAUGGCCGAGUGGAAGCCAGGGCUUGACGCCGGUAGCAACCGGUUACACAAAGGAUGAGACUAGACGCCAAAUGAGAAGAGAAUCUGACAAAGACACAGAGACACAGGUGACACUAAAUACACAGGAGGUAAUCAGGGAACGAGACAUACCUGGGAACAAAUCAAGGGGAGACAGGACAACACGGAGACUCAGAGACACAGGAACUCAAAACAAACACACAGAGAAACUCAAAUCACGACAGACUCCUUCCUAAACUGAUCUGUGCAAAUUGCAACUUAUAUUCCAUGGACAUUGCAAGCAAAAUAAAGUAACGCAUCUCUGUUCUCCAUUCGUAGGAGUAGAUGCAUGGACACAUGCAGCUGAUAACAAAACAUUUUCUUUUUCCAGCAGCUAUUAUGCAGCACAGGGACGCCUGCAGGAUACUAUUGGAGGGGACGCACAAUAUUAUUACUGCACCUGACCCACAAGAGCACAACCACAUCUCUUAACACAUCAUCACAUCAGGGUAGAAUGUCGUCUCCAUCUAGGUCCAGCCCUCAGAGUCAGAAAACUCUUCUCCUCUAAACCAGAUCUCAACUUCCUGAUUUCUUCCUGCUUCCACAAAGAUUCAUUGUCACUGUUUCAAUCCUCAUCUUGACACCAUCUUUUGACCGCCAGUGAAACAUCUUGUUGUGGAAUAAUCAAAAUUUCGUUGGUUCCCAUUUGAUGAAAACAGCUUCAGAAAUCCUUGGCGACAGUUCAAUUCAGUGACAUUUCCUCUAAGAAGGAAAGAAAAAAAUAGAUCACCUAGCUUCAGAAAACUUUAGCUGUGAUGCUCAUAGGCUCAAUAGACACAGUCUUUUAUCAGCUCUAAGUUAAUAAUUUUUGCAGCAGAGAAUGCUGUCUGGCAUCUGUAGCCUUUGUGCUGCAGGCGCUGCAACCCUGCAGGCCGUCUGUGAUGCAUGAACGUCCCAGACUGCAGAGCCAGAGGUAAAUUUAGAGAAAGGAGCCAAAUUCUCUCCUCUCUGUAACUGAAUUACAGUUACACUCAGUUUUUUCCUGAAGUAAGACUGAAGAACAUCCAGUAGAUGGAUUUUAGUUGGGAAGAAACACUGAAGGACCCUCAAUGCUGCUACUGUUAAAUACAUCAGCAGUGUCUGUCUGUGAAAUGUGACUGGCCAUGACAAAACCAUCAACAAGUCGAGGGCGUUUUGAGUUUAUAAUUUGUGGAAUGUAGAUUGUAAUGCAUGGAAUUUAAAAAAUAAGUUGUUUUUCACUA